UUUUGGUGUGUACAUAUAGCAUUAGUGUUUUAUCUUACUAAUUAUUGGUUGGGUUUAUUGCAUACAUUUGUUAUGACAGUUUUGUGUGUGAUUUUAGUUAUUGUUCUGUUAACAUACUGAAAGCCUAUAGCUAAUUUGCAUAAUCAUUGAUUGAUUGAAAUGUUUAUAAUACCAUGCAGAUAUAUUUACUGCAACAACUCUAUUUGGUCCUCAUCUGCACAUUGGGUUACAGAGAUGCCUUCACACGUAAUAUUUGUUAUGAAACACAUCACUAAGCACUUGUUUAAUUCUCUUAGCUCAUCAGGUUUUGGUUAGGGCAAAAUCCCACAAACUUUUAUGGAAUUGCUGUGGUCUAUGAACUGAUUCAUGUUUUCUAGCCGUCUAUUUUAAGCCUAAGAAAAUGUUCUGCUCCCACUUUUUGUAUCUAAAGUGUAUUGUGACAGAUUUUCUGCAGAUUAUUCUUACCUAUAACCGUAGUUGAUCGAUUGAGGCAAAUGGGUGUGAAUUAUUUAAAUGUUUCCGUCAUACCUCAUUUAUCCAAAUCAAAUUAUGACAGGUUAUUGUUUUCCCCUUUCCAAUCAUGCCUACCCCUUUUGUAGUCUCUUACAUUACUAUCAGACACACAAACAGAUGUUGUCUCUCUCUGACAAUGUGUUCAACUAGUGCCUUUUCAAGUUUGUGGUCCAAUGACAAACUUGGUUGAUAACUCAAUCACAGUCACAUUUCCUGCUGAGGCGAGGGGUGGCAAUGGGUUUAGAUGUGGAUCAAUUAUCCACGACCGAAUGCUGUAUUUCACAUCAGAACAAUAGGCUGUUGAGCUUAAGAAUCCUUGUGUUUUAUAAGGACUUCAGCAGUCUGUCACCGUUUUGCGUAUUUGCCACCAAGUGAGAAUGCUUUUGAACUUGCAUUUACAUCCUAUUGGAGUUGACAAAUAUAAUGCAUUCUCUCUGACAAGCUUUGUGGGUGCUGGUUUCUAUCUUCAGUUCACAACGGCCGUGUUCAUCUCUACCCAUAUGGUCUGAAUCAAUUUUUCUACAGAAUAUUUCAAAUAAAAUGUUACUCUCAAAUCAGGGAAUAUUUUUAGAUUUCAAACACCCAAGUCACAGUUUUGUAUCUUAUUGGACUUACACAAAAGCAAAGCUUUACAUACACUGUGAAUGUAUUUGUGGAGUAGAAUUUUUUUUUUGGUUUGCAGAUAUCAAAAUGUUUUCUUGCCGUUUUUGAUGGCUAAUUGUGAAUAGGAUAAAACUUCCAUAUAGCAGCCAUCUGUUUGGAUUGAUCACUGGUCUGUAUUUGCUUUAACAACCCACAUACACAAAGAUUAGGUCCAAAGUUAUCGCUUCUUGAGUCUAUACUGCGACUAAUGUGUUAUUUUAUGACUUUCUAUGAUUAAUUCAGGGUCUUUUGUAUUGUCCAAUAUGCUACUGUAUUAAUCUUCAAUCCUGACCAGUUGGUUUUGAUUGCAUUGGAUCUUGUUUGCAGUAAUUUCGUGUUAGUCAAAUUGAUAUUACACUUCAAGUUAUUGGGUAAUUUAUGUAAGAUACAGCAUCUAGACUUUAUAGCUAAAUUGGAACUGUUACUGUUUUAAUGUGUAGUUUUUGUGGUUUUAUGAUUUUUGUUUGCGCUAGAUUUUUAAGCUACACUAGUUUGCCAUGUAGCAACUGCACUGUGCAAUAUUCAAUAUGAGGACUGGGAAAAUGAUUAUUUUGGAUGUUAUGUCUCUUACAGUUUGCGGUCAUAUUUCUCUCUAGUUCUCAGUGAUUUCAAUGUGACCAAGCCUUAUGUACUUUGUCACAAAAAGCGGGUUUUCCUGGUGACUUGUGUGUCAAAUUAAGAAUUGAUGGUGUAUUAUUGUCAAGAUUCACUUUGAAUUAAAAAAAAAAAUAUCCA
ensembl:lncRNA